rnacentral:rRNA from 1 species
UACGUAGGGGGCGAGCGUUGUCCGGAUUUAUUGGGCGUAAAGAGCUCGUAGGCGGUUCGGUAAGUCGGAUGUGAAAUCUCCACGCUCAACGUGGAGGGGCCAUUCGAUACUGCCGUGACUCGAGUCCGGUAGGGGAGUGUGGAAUUCCACGUGUAGCGGUGAAAUGCGUAGAGAUGUGGAGGAACACCAGUGGCGAAGGCGACUCUUUGGUCUGUAACUGACGCUGAGGCGCGAAAGCGUGGGGAGCAAACAGG